GAGAGAGAGACAUCUUAGAUGCUAUUGGCACUCAACAAUACAAACAUUAAAAUAUUAAUACCUAAACGUUUAAAUUAAAAUUAUAACAGUGGUUAUCACUCAUUCAUUACUGAAACCUUACUGCUGAAGAUGGACGACUUGAAGUUGGUUUGACUACAGUAUGAGAAUGAGACAUCUGACAUAGGAGAGGAGACAAGUCAAUUGGUCUCAGCAACCCGGGAAGCAGUGUAUUUGUUCUCAAGCUGAAGAAACGAUCUGCUCGCUUGCACUUUUCCAUGGCUGGCGGUUUCUAUGGCAACAAAAGGCGAGGAAGAGGAGGCUGGGGAAUGACAGAGCACUGUUAAGCAGACAACACAGUCACGCCUGGGAUCCUCAUGAGGUAGGAGAAUACCCACAGUGAAGAGAGCAAAAAAUCGGGGAGUGAGGUGAGAAUGGGAAGUUCUACAGAAACAAAGCUGCACCGGGAAAUGACUCAGGCUUAUUCUUAGCUCUGUGCUGUGUAACUUUGUCAAGAUGAUGCAAUAUCAGUUAUAUCUGGUUGGUCUUUGAAUGUAUACUCCA